AAGGUGCUGGCGGGCGUUUGGCGUUGCAGCUGUGUGGGCGCUGGUGCGUGCGAGUAGCGCUCGAAGAAACCCAAAGGCGUCGUGGGGCUGCCGUGUGCCCCAGAGAGCACUGCAGGCCGGGUAGGGGCUAAGGCUCCCCGCAGUCUUCUGUGUGUCGUCCAGUACGCAGUUGAAAUCGUUCUCCAACCUGGCCAGUCCUCCGAGGCCCUUCUCAGGCGACCAGACUCUGUUAACAGAGUCCAUUGCUAAAACUCCUCGUUAGUAUUUACCACUCCUCCAGUCUGUGUUUUGAAGCAGUGGUUUUCAACCACUGCCCGUUUUCAGAAGAAAUCAUCUCAAGCGUCCGUGUGCUGCUAGAAGCCGGGCCGGGAGGUCUUGGUGCCGGACUCCACCCUGCAGCCCUUCCCUUUCGCCACCGCCCUGUGCUUAGAGAAACCUUAGAGUGGAGCAAUGAGUCGCCCUUGACUGAGUAACUCUUCGGGGUCAACUUCUCCUUCCACGCCAAGGAAAGGAUUCCAGGGCGAUGUUUCUGGAAAUAGAGAUCUGACCAAGCCACUGCUCUGGUGAAAAUUCAUCUCUUUCAGAGCAAUGCAAACCUGAAACUACUCCUGCCAAGAAACGAUUGCAGCUCUUCCCGGAAAAGUUAAAGCCUUUGAGAAACAAAGCUGAGGUUGAAAGUAUUAGUCCAUUUUAUAGAUGAAGAAAUGGAGGCCCAGAGAGAUCACGUGACUUAGCCAAGUCCACCAACUAAUAUUGGGAAGCUCAGCAGGGUCCUGGGGGCCCACAGGAAUGUGAAUAAACACGCUUGGAAAGUCUGCAGAAUUUCCAGUCCUAGCCUCCUGCUGGUGUGAACCUGGGCUCCUGUGCCUGGGACCCUGGGAGAUUUGGGAUUAAGCCUUAUUUUGCAUUGGGUUUAAUCUCAACAGACACCGAGGGGCACCUGGAGUCCCUGCAAAACCUUGUCUGGUAUCAGCUACCUAUCAGAGGAUGCAGAGGACAAGGGCCUAGGGGAUGCCAAAUUCCAGGGUCCAGAAAGAGCUUGGGAUAAAAUGAACAUCCAAGGGGAGGGCUUUGACCUGGGCUGAGUCUGCCUGUGCCGAGUCUGCCUGUGCCAUCCAACUGGAGUCUCAAGUCCUGAGGCAGGACGUCCAGAUGCCCCAGUGCAGGGUCCUCCUGAUCAACACCUGCUCCCCUGUACUCAUUAGCAACCUCACCCACCCUACUCUCAAAGCACACUUGGCUCUCAUAUCCAGGAGCUCUGCAUCUGUAGAUUCAGCAACAGCAGAUGGAAAAUAUUCAGAAAAUAAAUUGGACAGUUAUAUUUCUAUUGAA
rnacentral:lncRNA from 1 species